rnacentral:rRNA from 1 species
AGACAGCAGUCGCCGCGGUAAUACGUAGGGUGCAAGCGUUAAUCGGAAUUACUGGGCGUAAAGCGUGCGCAGGCGGUUAUAUAAGACAGAUGUGAAAUCCCCGGGCUCAACCUGGGAACUGCAUUUGUGACUGUAUAGCUAGAGUACGGCAGAGGGGGAUGGAAUUCCGCGUGUAGCAGUGAAAUGCGUAGAUAUGCGGAGGAACACCGAUGGCGAAGGCAAUCCCCUGGGCCUGUACUGACGCUCAUGCACGAAAGCGUGGGGAGCAAACAGGAUUAGAUACCCCUGUAGUCCCUGUCUCUUAUAC